GCAGACACAUUCCUGCCAAUCAGCAGCAGACCCUCCCUCCCAGACCCUCCCACCUCCUGGACAGCUCACUAAGAAUGCAGCUUCACAAUGAAUGUAAAAUGGAUGCUGAACAGGAGGUGGGAGGGUCUGGGAGGGAGGGUCUGCUGCUGAUUGGCUGGAAUGUGUCUG